GCCCGCCUAGCUCAAUCGGAUAGAGCGUCAGACUCUUAGGCUGAGUACACAGGAAUGGCAUCUGAAGGCUGCGAGUUCAACCCUCGCGGUGGGCU